UGAGGGAAAGGUGAAAAGUACCCCUAACAGGGGAGUGAAAUAGACCUGAAACCGUGCGCUUACAAGCGGUCGGAGCUCUUCGGAGUGACGGCGUGCCUUUUGCAUAAUGAGCCUACGAGUUACUGCUCACUGGCAAGGUUAAGUUAAUAACGGAGCCGAAGCGAAAGCGAGUCUUAACAGGGCGUGCAGUCAGUGGGCGUAGACGCGAAACCCGGUGAUCUACCCAUGGGCAGGUUGAAGUUGUGGUAACACACAAUGGAGGACCGAACCAGUUGACGUUGAAAAGUCUUUGGAUGACCUGUGGGUAGGGGUGAAAGGCCAAUCAAACCGGGAAAUAGCUCGUACUCCCCGAAAUGCUUUUAGGAGCAGCGUAUAGUUAAGUGUAUAAGAGGUAGAGCUACUGGUUGGGCUAGGGGGAGUCACAUCCUACCAAACCCUAUCAAACUCCGAAUGCUUAUACAUGUUUCUAUGCAGUGAGGGUAUGGGUGCUAAGGUCCAUAUCCAAAAGGGAAAGAACCCAGAGCAUCAGCUAAGGUCCCCAAGUGUAUACUAAGUUGAGAAAAUGUGGUGUGAUUGCUUAGACAGCCAGGAUGUUGGCUUGGAAGCAGCCAUUCAUUUAAAGAGUGCGUAACAGCUCACUGGUCGAGCGAUCGCGCGCAGAUAAUGAUCGGGCAUCAAGUAUACCACCGAAGCUAUGCCUUGUACUUUGUACAGGGGUAGGGGAGCAUUCCAAUGGCGGCGAAGUUUUGUCGUAAGGCAUUGUGGAGCGAUUGGAAAAGAAAAUGUAGGCAUAAGUAACGAUAAUGAAGAUGAGAAAUCUUCACACCGCAAGACUAAGGUUUCCACAGCUAUGUUAAUCAACUGUGGGUUAGCCGGGACCUAACGCGUACCCGAAAGGGGAAGUGGAUGGAAAUUGGGUUAAUAUUCCCAAGCCAGUCAGGAAGUGACGGAGAGACGUGGCAGCUACGGGGUGACGGAAGUCCCCGUUGAGCCUAGAUGCUUGCAUCGAAGCGAAGUUGUAAAAUCUCUUCCAAGAAAAGCCCUGACAUAGCCCGUACCGUAAACCGACACAGGUAGUCGAGGAGAGUAUCCUAAGGUGCUCGAGUGAUCCGUGGUUAAGGAACUAGGCAAAUUAGCCCUGUAACUUCGGGAGAAAGGGCCCCCUCUUCGGAGGGGCGCAGUGAAAUGGCCCAGGCGACUGUUUAGCAAAAACACAGGACUAUGCUAAGUUGAAAGACGCAGUAUAUGGUCUGACACCUGCCCGGUGCUGGAAGGUUAAGUGGAGAUGUCAUCUUCGGAGAAGCAUUGAAAUGAAGCCCCAGUAAACGGCGGCCGUAACAAUAACGGUCCUAAGGUAGCG
rnacentral:rRNA from 1 species